rnacentral:rRNA from 1 species
GAUGAACGCUGGCGGCGUGCCUAAUACAUGCAAGUCGAACGAAACUUCUUUAUCACCGAGUGCUUGCACUCACCGAUAAAGAGUUGAGUGGCGAACGGGUGAGUAACACGUGGGCAACCUGCCCAAAAGAGGGGGAUAACACUUGGAAACAGGUGGUAAUACCGCAUAACCAUAGUUACCGCAUGGUAACUAUGUAAAAGGUGGCUAUACUACCGCUUUUGGAUGGGCCCGCGGCGCAUUAGCUAGUUGGUAGGGUAAAGGCUUACCAAGGCAAUGAUGCGUAGCCGAAUUGAGAGGGUGAUCGGCCACAUUGGGACUGAGACACGGCCCAAACUCCUACGGGAGGCAGCAGUAGGGAAUCUUCCACAAUGGGCGAAAGCCUGAUGGAGCAACGCCGCGUGGGUGAAGAAGGUCUUCGGAUCGUAAAACCCUGUUGUUAGAGAAGAAAGUGCGUGAGAGUAACUGUUCACGUUUCGACGGUAUCUAACCAGAAAGCCACGGCUAACUACGUG